UACAGGGGGUGCAAACGUUGCUCGGAAUUAUUGGGCGUAAAGCGCGCGUAGGCGGCUACUUAAGUCGGAUGUGAAAGCCCUUGGCUCAACUGAGGAAGUGCACCCGAAACUGAGUGGCUUGAGUACUAAAGAGGGUCGCGGAAUUCCCGGUGUAGAGGUGAAAUUCGUAGAUAUCGGGAGGAACACCAGUGGCGAAGGCGGCGACCUGGGCCAAUACUGACGCUGAGGUGCGAAAGCGUGGGGAGCAAACAGG
rnacentral:rRNA from 1 species